UACGUAGGCGGCGGGCGUUGUCCGGAUUUACUGGGCGUAAAGGAUGCGUAGGUGGAAAUUUAAGUGGGAUGUGAAAUCCCCGGGCUCAACCCGGGAACUGCAUUCCAAACUGGAUUUCUUGAGUACAGGAGAGGAAAGCGGAAUUCCUAGUGUAGCGGUGAAAUGCGUAGAUAUUAGGAGGAACACCAGUGGCGAAGGCGGCUUUCUGGACUGUAACUGACACUGAGGCAUGAAAGCGUGGGUAGCAAACAGGAUUAGAUACCCUGGUAGUCCCUGAG
rnacentral:rRNA from 1 species